AUAUAAAAAGCCAUUAAUUGACUUUCAAAUCAGAAAAUAGACAUAAUAAUCUCAGCUCUCAAAUAGGAUCAUCUUCUUCCCUUGAAGCUUUCAUGUCAAAAUUCUUCCAACUUCCAUAACUUCUUCAAUAUAGCUCCAAAUCGAUUGAUUUUCGCGGCAACGGAAAGAGGAGAGGAUUAUCUAUCGAUCUAUGGUAUCAAAUUAAGGUGAAUAGGAGCUUGUAUGAAGGAUUGUGAUGGUGAUUUUGAAAUAUUAACCCUUCGGCCUCCAUCAAAAACCAAGACUUGACGGGGCGACGGCCAAUGGAACCCGGAACGUACAGAACGCGACAUCGCUUAGCUAUUAUCGAAGAUUAUGGAUAGCAAGCAUGUGUUUUUCAGGUAUCUCGAUCCGGACUUGACUAGAUGUCCACCUUUUGACCGGAAGUCAAUGUUCCAAUAAACAGUUCUGACUUCCAUGUCUGCUGCAGUAGUAUAAUGUCUGACUAGUGUCAUGGCCUAGUAGAACAGUAAAAAUUGUACGUUGUUUAUAGUUGCUGUCUGUUGUGCAUAUUUUGGUUUGGUUACAAUAGUUAUGUUUUGUACCACGGAGGUAGAUUCCCGUGAUGUAACUUUGACAAUAAUAGUUUAUGCCGGGCUAGUACGUAUAUGAUACGGAAAUGAUAAGUCCGAGCAAGUUGUAUGAUUUUUACCAGUGUAUAAAUGUGUUUUUGUUUAAA